UGGGGAAUAUUGCACAAUGGGGGAAACCCUGAUGCAGCGACGCCGCGUGAGUGAAGAAGUAUUUCGGUAUGUAAAGCUCUAUCAGCAGGGAAGAAGAAAUGACGGUACCUGACUAAGAAGCCCCGGCUAACUGCGUGCCAGCAGCCGCGGUAAUACGUAGGGGGCAAGCGUUAUCCGGAUUUACUGGGUGUAAAGGGAGCGUAGACGGCAAUGCAAGUCUGAAGUGAAAGGCCGGGGCUCAACCCCGGGACUGCUUUGGAAACUGUGUAGCUGGAGUACAGGAGAGGUAAGUGGAAUUCCUAGU
rnacentral:rRNA from 1 species